rnacentral:lncRNA from 1 species
AAAACAAUGUAAAUAUGCAAGAUAUCAACUCCCCCGAACUUGUUCUUUACUUGUCCUCAAGUAAACAUUCAAGAUCAAUUAAACAUGAGGGAAUUGAAAAUGGAAACACAUAACCAAAAGAGACACUUUCUAGCCUUCAACCCAACAUCCUAAAAGAAACAUAGCAAAUAGCAUGAGCAACUCUCUAGUACACUCUAGUUUCUCAAGGCCUAUUAAGACUCUUUUAUCUCUACACAAGGCUCAUUUUCAUCCAACCAACAAGUUCCUUAGUCAACUCUCACAUUCAUUCACACACACACAAGGUGAAUUCUUGCAAAUGGAUAUUUGAUC